rnacentral:misc_RNA from 1 species
GUCGCAACGGUUUAGCAGCCUUGCAGCUAGCUAGAAAGGGUCCUACGAGCUCCUUCGGGCAAAGUGAUGCGCGGCAUGAUGCACGGUUGGCCGAGGCCUAUGUUCACCACCUAUCGCCGCGGCAGCUCGAUGCCUUGGGCUCCUUAUUUAGGCCAGCCGCACCCGGUGAGGCACGGGAGACCAUCAUCCUUCCCCUCCCCACUCAGGGUGGGUGUGGGGGAGACGCGAUGCGUGACGCCCAGGCAGACGUGCCCUCAGCCGAAGCUUCGGGCGCAACUUGCGUUCAAAGACUCGAUGGUUCACGGGAUUCUGCAAUUCACACCAAGUAUCGCAUUUCGCUACGUUCUUCAUCGAUGCGAGAGCCGAGAUAUCCGUUGCCGAGAGUCGUUUAUUGUUAAUACAGGGCACCACACCCGCGCACCGGAAAACCGGGCACGUGAUAGGCGCGCACUUUGAGUUUAUGUUCCUUGGCGCAGUCCGCGCCGGGGUUCGUUUAUGUGCCGGGAAGGCACCCCGCAAGGAGGUGCCCACCGACGCACAGGGGGGGAGGGUAGGUGCCCUAGGACACCAAACCAACACCCACACCCCAUGCAUGAUAAACAUGUUCGCUGGUCGUUCUGCUAUGCAGGUUUCGACAAUGAUCCUUCC